CGAGUCAGUGAUUUCUCCCAGAAAACGAUUGUGCUAAUGCAGAUUCUGGGGAAGUUCAAAGACACUCUGCCAUCUGCACUAGAGAUGAAAAGAGGAGGAUCCCUAGGAACAUUCAGACAGGCGACUGUGACUCUGGAUCCAGACACGGCUCAUCCCCAACUCGUCCUGUCUGAGGAUCAGAACAGUGUGAGAUGGGGAGACACACGGCAGCAACUGCCCAACAAC